rnacentral:lncRNA from 1 species
AAUAAUUUAAUUUUGGAUGUAACGCGUCUUCUGAUUGGCUGACGUUAUUUUGUUAUGAGCCCAUAGACAUAAUUUAGUCAUGUGACCGUGACGUCAUCAACGUUUUUUCAUUGUUUUCUACGGUUUAAAAUGGAAUUUAGAAUUAAAUUAUAAGAAAUGACUGUAAUAUUUUUUCUGUCUAUUCGAAAUAACAUAAAAAAUGUGGUGCACACUAUUAAUUAACCUUCUACGCGCGUUAUUCA